rnacentral:tRNA from 1 species
GGAGGAGUGGCCGAGUGGUCUAAGGCGGCGGUCUUGAAAACCGCUGCGGGGAAACCCGCCGUGGGUUCGAAUCCUACCUCCUCCG